rnacentral:rRNA from 1 species
AUUGAACGCUGGCGGCAGGCCUAACACAUGCAAGUCGAGCGGGGUUUUCGGACCUAGCGGCGGACGGGUGAGUAAUGCGUAGGAAGCUACCCGAUAGAGGGGGAUACCAGUUGGAAACGACUGUUAAUACCGCAUAAUGUCUACGGACCAAAGUGUGGGACCUUCGGGCCACAUGCUAUCGGAUGCGCCUACGUGGGAUUAGCUAGUUGGUGAGGUAACGGCUCACCAAGGCGACGAUCCCUAGCUGGUUUGAGAGGAUGAUCAGACACACUGGAACUGAGACACGAGCCAGACUCCUACGGGGGGCAGCAGUGGGGAAUAUUGGACAAUGGGCGCAAGCCUGAUCCAGCCAUGCCGCGUGUGUGAAGAAGGCCUUCGGGUUGUAAAGCACUUUCAGUAGGGAGGAAGCGUUGUGUGUUAAUAGUACACAGCGUUGACGUUACCUACAGAAGAAGCACCGGCUAACUCUGUGCCAGCCGCCGCCGUAAGAC